rnacentral:lncRNA from 1 species
GAAAGACGAACGAGGUCAGUGGCGGUAAUGCACCUAAUUUAUGAAAGUUGCCAAUCGCACUAUAAAGUCAAGAGAAGAAAAAGCCUAGAAGGAGGAGAGAUGACUAGAAACGAUUCGAUUGAUCGUUUUAUGUGUUAAUUAAUUGUCGGAGUAGAGGACUUUGUGCAUUUCAGAUGAACAUGGCGUUUGGAAAUUGCUACCAAGGAUGAACCAGACAAGUGGAGGUCUACAAUUUUUUUUCUGAGAUCUUGGCUGAUUUCUUUUGAUUUUCCCAUGAUGUCAAGCAAAGAGGCACUGAGUUUGAAGAUCUUUGACGCUUUCGUGAGGGGCUUCCAUCCUCGUAUCAACCGACUCAUGGUCUGAACCACCCAUCACAGAACUGGCAGAGACAGGACUCAUCAGGGAUGAUUCUGAAAAACACAAAGAUGACAAUACAGGCAUACCAUCUAAGGGAGGAAGGAUGUCAGUGUUGUACGGCAGCUGAAACCUGGUCCCGACUGAGUCCGAACGCUCCUUGGCGACAACAACACCAGGCUCCAGAGCAUCGAAGCAGUAAAACAGGAAAUGACAACAUUUUUUUUGACAUUACAACCUUGUACAACAUCAAUUCACCUCCCAAGUUUAGAUAAGAAGAAUAACCUCAUACAAUGGAAUGAAAAUGAUAUUCACCGGAAGUGCUGGUACUGCUUGAAAUGUGGCAGCGGCCUGAAGUACGGAGUCAGGUGUUGUUGCCAGUCAUAGCUUUCCACCAGCACCGUACCGUCCUCCAGUCCAACAACACCAGCAAUCUCAGACAAAGUGUUCACUCUGGUCUUUCUGAAGCGCUGCUUGAUAAGGCCGAAGCAUUAGUCGGGGGCAAACUUGGUGUGGUCUGUGAUCAGGAAGUGAAGUUCCAGACUGCUUGAGUUUGUGCCUAUAAGACAGAAGGAGCAAGGUGGUGUCGUGGUCGGAUUUGCCGAAGUGAGGGCGGGGGAGGGCUUUGUAUGCAUCGCUGAAGUUAGAGUAGCAGUGGUCGAGGGUAUUGCGCAUGCGCGUAUCACAAUCAAUAUCGGAUGGGGCCACAGUGUCUCCUGGCCCCUCCUGUCUCAGCCUCCAGUAUUUAUUCUGCAGUAGUUUAUGUGUCGGG